rnacentral:hammerhead_ribozyme from 1 species
AUUCAGCUGACGAGUCCCAAAUAAAAAGAAACGCGAGUCAAACUGAAU